rnacentral:rRNA from 1 species
GAGUUUGAUCAUGGCUCAGAUUGAACGCUGGCGGCAGGCCUAACACAUGCAAGUCGAGCGGCAGCACAGAGGAACUUGUUCCUUGGGUGGCGAGCGGCGGACGGGUGAGUAAUGCCUAGGAAAUUGCCCUGAUGUGGGGGAUAACCAUUGGAAACGAUGGCUAAUACCGCAUGAUGCCUACGGGCCAAAGAGGGGGACCUUCUGGCCUCUCGCGUCAGGAUAUGCCUAGGUGGGAUUAGCUAGUUGGUGAGGUAAUGGCUCACCAAGGCGACGAUCCCUAGCUGGUCUGAGAGGAUGAUCAGCCACACUGGAACUGAGACACGGUCCAGACUCCUACGGGAGGCAGCAGUGGGGAAUAUUGCACAAUGGGCGCAAGCCUGAUGCAGCCAUGCCGCGUGUAUGAAGAAGGCCUUCGGGUUCUAAAGUACUUUCAGUCGUGAGGAAGGUGGUGUUGUUAAUAGCAGCAUCAUUUGACGUUAGCGACAGAAGAAGCACCGGCUAACUCCGUGCCAGCAGCCGCGGUAAUACGGAGGGUGCGAGCGUUAAUCGGAAUUACUGGGCGUAAAGCGCAUGCAGGUGGUGGAUUAAGUCAGAUGUGAAAGCCCGGGGCUCAACCUCGGAACCGCAUUUGAAACUGGUUCACUAGAGUACUGUAGAGGGGGGUAGAAUUUCAGGUGUAGCGGUGAAAUGCGUAGAGAUCUGAAGGAAUACCGGUGGCGAAGGCGGCCCCAUGGACAGAUACUGACACUCAGAUGCGAAAGCGUGGGGAGCAAACAGGAUUAGAUACCCUGGUAGUCCACGCCGUAAACGAUGUCUACUUGGAGGUUGUGGCCUUGAGCCGUGGCUUUCGGAGCUAACGCGUUAAGUAGACCGCCUGGGGAGUACGGUCGCAAGAUUAAAACUCAAAUGAAUUGACGGGGGCCCGCACAAGCGGUGGAGCAUGUGGUUUAAUUCGAUGCAACGCGAAGAACCUUACCUACUCUUGACAUCCAGAGAAGCCAGCGGAGACGCAGGUGUGCCUUCGGGAGCUCUGAGACAGGUGCUGCAUGGCUGUCGUCAGCUCGUGUUGUGAAAUGUUGGGUUAAGUCCCGCAACGAGCGCAACCCUUAUCCUUGUUUGCCAGCGAGUCAUGUCGGGAACUCCAGGGAGACUGCCGGUGAUAAACCGGAGGAAGGUGGGGACGACGUCAAGUCAUCAUGGCCCUUACGAGUAGGGCUACACACGUGCUACAAUGGCGCAUACAGAGGGCAGCAAGCUAGCGAUAGUGAGCGAAUCCCAAAAAGUGCGUCGUAGUCCGGAUUGGAGUCUGCAACUCGACUCCAUGAAGUCGGAAUCGCUAGUAAUCGUAGAUCAGAAUGCUACGGUGAAUACGUUCCCGGGCCUUGUACACACCGCCCGUCACACCAUGGGAGUGGGCUGCACCAGAAGUGGUUAGUUUAACCGCACUUUCUUCGGAGAGAGUGGAGGACGAUCACCACGGUGUGGUUCAUGACUGGGGUGAAGUCGUAACAAGGUAGCGCUAGGGGAACCUGGCGCUGGAUCACCUCCUUAUACGAAGAUUACACUGAUGAGUGUCCACACAGAUUGAUGGUUUAUAGAGUUUAAGAGAGAUUAAGGGGCUAUAGCUCAGCUGGGAGAGCGCUUGCA